GAUGAACGCUGGCGGCGUGCCUAAUACAUGCAAGUCGAGCGAACAGAUAAGGAGCUUGCUCCUUUGAAGUUAGCGGCGGACGGGUGAGUAACACGUGGGUAACCUACCUAUAAGACUGGGAUAACUUCGGGAAACCGGAGCUAAUACCGGAUAACAUUGAGAACCGCAUGGUUCUAAAGUGAAAGAUGGUUUUGCUAUCACUUAUAGAUGGACCCGCGCCGUAUUAGCUAGUUGGUAAGGUAACGGCUUACCAAGGCGACGAUACGUAGCCGACCUGAGAGGGUGAUCGGCCACACGGGAACUGAGACACGCUCCAGACUCCUACGGGAGGCAGCAGUAGGGAAUCUUCCGCAAUGGGCGAAAGCCUGACGGAGCAACGCCGCGUGAGUGAUGAAGGGUUUCGGCUCGUAAAACUCUGUUAUUAGGGAAGAACAAAUGUGUAAGUAACUGUGCACAUCUUGACGGUACCUAAUCAGAAAGCCACGGCUAACUACGUG
rnacentral:rRNA from 1 species